rnacentral:rRNA from 1 species
UACGUAGGUGGCAAGCGUUGUCCGGAUUUACUGGGCGUAAAGGAUGCGUAGGCGGAUGUUUAAGUGAGAUGUGAAAUACCCGAGCUCAACUUGGGUGCUGCAUUUCAAACUGGAUAUCUAGAGUGCAGGAGAGGAAAGCGGAAUUCCUAGUGUAGCGGUGAAAUGCGUAGAGAUUAGGAAGAACACCAGUGGCGAAGGCGCUUUCUGGACUGUAACUGACGGUUGAGGCAUGAAAGCGUGGGGAGCAAACAGG